UACGUAGGGUGCGAGCGUUAAUCGGAAUUACUGGGCGUAAAGCGUGCGCAGGCGGUUCGUUAAGUCAGAUGUGAAAGCCCCGGGCUCAACCUGGGAACUGCAUUUGAAACUGGCGGGCUUGAGUGUGGCAGAGGGGGAUGGAAUUCCGCGUGUAGCAGUGAAAUGCGUAGAUAUGCGGAGGAACACCGAUGGCGAAGGCAAUCCCCUGGGCCUGCACUGACGCUCAUGCACGAAAGCGUGGGGAGCAAACAGG
rnacentral:rRNA from 1 species